UGAUCUUGGUUCAGAUUGAACGCUGGCGGCAGGCCUAACACAUGCAAGUCGAACGGUAACAGAGAGCAGCUUGCUGCUCUGCUGACGAGUGGCGGACGGGUGAGUAAUGUCUGGGAAACUGCCUGAUGGAGGGGGAUAACUACUGGAAACGGUAGCUAAUACCGCAUAACGUCUUCGGACCAAAGUGGGGGACCUUCGGGCCUCAUGCCAUCAGAUGUGCCCAGAUGGGAUUAGCUAGUAGGUGGGGUAAAGGCUCACCUAGGCGACGAUCCCUAGCUGGUCUGAGAGGAUGACCAGCCACACUGGAACUGAGACACGGUCCAGACUCCUACGGGAGGCAGCAGUGGGGAAUAUUGCACAAUGGGCGCAAGCCUGAUGCAGCCAUGCCGCGUGUAUGAAGAAGGCCUUCGGGUUGUAAAGUACUUUCAGCGAGGAGGAAGGGGUUG
rnacentral:rRNA from 1 species